rnacentral:rRNA from 1 species
UGGUGGAGUGAUUUGUCUGGUUAAUUCCGUUAACAAACGAGACCUUAACCUGCUAAAUAGUCGCAAGAACUUAGGUUCUUGAUAGGCUUCUUAGAGGGACUUUGCGGGAUAACCGCAAGGAAGUUUGAGGCAAUAACA